CUCCUUUCAUGGCUCAGGCAUGGCCGACGCGGGUGACAGUGUAGUAACUCUUCUUAUCAGCUUAAUAUUUUCUAUGGGUUGUAUUUGGAUCUAAGAUAUUAAACUUAUUAUUGCAAGCUGGCGGAAUGCUUGAAGCCAGCUUCACCUCCACCGCGGGUCGGCCCGGUAUUGCACUAUCUUCGGCAUCGGCCCAUAGAUU